GAGAGCAGCCCCGCGUUGUAGUCCAGCACGAACCAGCGGUACUGCCAGCCCUUCAUCACAUUGGUCCAUUUGCUCAGCGGGCCCUCCAUGAUAGACGCCAUCUUAGCACCGGACCGGCACCGCCGCGCACACCGCGCGUUCGAGAAACGUUGCCUCCAUUUUAUUUUUUACGGGUAACAAAUGCAGUAAUAAACUACAAUCAAGUAGAAGAUGGAGCAUUCUGUGUCAUCCUCAGUCUCCAGCUACUGGCCUUUACAGAAUUACGUUUGGUUUAGGGGAUUACAGAGAGAAAGAUAGAUGGGAGAGAAUCACCUUCACCCUACAAGCAGUCGUUCUUCAAAGAGGACAAUUAAAUCAAGUAUGACAGUAAGUGCCAUUUUUUCAGGGGAACACUUUACUUCCCUCUCAUGAUCACUGCAGAACUUCUCUGGCUGUUGAAUCUCAUGCUGGCUGGAGAUGGAGGAGAUUUCUUUGCAAGCACUAGAGACUGACAUAAGAACAUCUGCUCUUCAUGAAGUUCUCUGAACCUGUGGACUUGGAUAGCAGUUGUGCAGUUGUGUAUGAGAAGAAAAUUUGGCUCACAUAGUCUAAUGAUGGAAAGAAUGGUAAAUCCAGAACUAACCCGGGGAUUUCAGGGCUAAUGCAGUUUUGUCACAGGUUCUCUUUCUAGAUAAAUAGAUUUCUUUUUUACAGGUUCUCACAUUGAGCAAACUCCCAGAUUGCAUUAUUAGCAAAGUUUGAGUCCUCUGGCAAUGAGGAUCAGACUUUAGUAUAGUUUAUAAUAAAUUGUGAACAGAACAUUGACCAAAUGUAGAUAUAUUGUAUUGUUUGGGCAGAUCUUAUUCGAUGUACAUGAAGAGUCUUAAUUAUGAGAUUAGAUUGAGCUUGGAAAUAUUUCUUCUUGGUUCAAGUAGCUCACAUAGUUCAUUUAAUCAAAUAACUACAUGUGUGCAAUUAAAUGUGCAACAUCUAAAAUUUGAGGCGUUUUACUUUUUGUGAUAUAUUUAAUCUGCUCAUCUGCUAAAAAAUAGAUCUUCAUAUUGCAUUGCCUAUUCAAGUAUUAAAUUCUAUUACUUUUUAAAUUAGUAAUCCCCAAAGAGCUACAGGAAUUUAUGAACAUUAUUCCAUCAAGGUUAAAAAAUUGAGUUACCUGAAAGAAGAAGAAGUCUAAUUAAAUUUUUUUCCUUGUUGAAUCCUGUUAAGUGCUUUCCUCAUAUGAGAAAUUUGUGAAGUUAUUGCAAAACUGUAAGGGCAGGGUUCAGAACUGCAGAUAUAUAUAAAAGUCAGCUGUGUGAUAAUGGUAAAGAGAGACAGAGACAGAUUCUGUGCUGGUUUUAGAAUCUGCCAAGGACGUGGGUGCUAUAUUUUGGGCAAGAGAAUUCUUUAAGCCUAAUGCCAUCUGGCUGGCUUUCAUCUGUGCCAGUUGUUCCACAUGCCAAGCUGCCUGUCCUGCCCCUACCAUGCUUCUUGAAGUAGAAAUUAAAUUAAAAAUACAGUAAUUUCUAGUAGCCUGAUUGGAAAAAUAUCCAUGAAGGGAUUUAGAAACCCAAGGAAGCAAUCCAAGCUUCUGUGCUUCUGUCAGAGACUUUGAUCAGAAGUUUCUUCUUCCAUGUUUUGAAGCAAUCUUUGGAUGCUUUUCCCCUUUCAAGCCUCGCUGGCAGCAAAAGUCCUGGCUGUAGGAUCUGCUUCAAUUUGUUGUCCAAGGUGCAUGAUAAAUACAGUUAAAACACACAUAAAACCUCCACACACUCCCACCUAAGAUCUUCUGUUCCAUUCUUUUAAUUAGUAACUAUAUACCUGUAUUUAGAAAUACAACAAUACAGGUUUUCCUCACCUUGAUCUCUACGAGGUACCUGCAUGGUUUGUAUUUCUGGGCUGGCAGUUGUGGAUCUAGCACAACAUGGAUCUGUUCUGCAGUCCUCUGUAGGAGACCCACAGUUAAUUUUUAGCCUGGGAUUUAUUCCCUACUAAGAAAAAUUGGAGUUGAGCUAAAUUAAGCAACUCAUCUAUAAAUUCACUUUGCAGUUAACUAAAUAGCUCUACUGAUGAUUUUGGAGUGUUUUUUCUCAUGCUCAUCUGUAUAUAUGUAAUUUACCACCAUUAAUCUAUCACAAGGAAAGGAGAGAGAAAUUCAUUAAAUCAUUUUGUACAGAUAUUUCUAUAAGGAAAAACAUUACAGUAAACUUGAUUUCAACAGGAACAAACUCUUCACUAAACAUAAAGAGACAGACAAUCAAGAAUGUGUCAGUUUUUGGAUGGAAUUUGAAUGUCUUUUGAAUCGUGGAGAUUCUUUCAGGAAGAAUACAUCUUCUGUUUCUGCAAAACUCAUCCAGCUAUCUGACCUUACCUGCUUUAUAUGGCUUCUGCCUCUGUUUUAUUCCUAAAACCUUGAUACUUUUCUCCUUUGGACCUCAGUAUUCUUUGUGUCAGUUUUAUACCUGAUAUAUAUUUGUCUUUUGAGCACUUUGGGGAGGGGAAGGUUGUCCUUCUAGAGAAGGUCAAAUUUGUUUGUCAUUGAACUGAUUCAACAAAUUAAAUUGAUAUGGGGAUCUGAAAAAUCUUGGUGGUUUGAUGCUUAUGCACCAUCAUCAAUAAUUUUGGUAAUCUGAUGUAGGUAUUUAUAAAUAACAUUCUUCAAUUGCUUCUCAUAUUUUGUGAAUCACAUUUAAAUUAGUAUUACCAAUAACAGUGGGAGUGGACAGAGUCUUUCAGAUUCUGCAGUGCAUUUUUAAAAUCAGAAUAUAUUUUAAAGGAAUUUUAUUUGUAAAGAGAGGAAGUUUGAUUGAAAAACUAUUGUGAAGCUACUAAAUCCAUAAUGUAUUUUUCAAAGUCACAGUGAUGAUUACACUGGAAUUUACCACAGCUGCUUUAAAUGCUACCAAAAGUAAUUUAAAGAAACAUUUUAUUAUCAAUGGUCACCAGACUUUCACUUUGUAGUUGUUGCAUAGCUAUAUCUGUUUAUAGCUGUAUUAGCUUCACCUGUUCAACAGGUGAGAUAUCUUUUAUUAGAGAUAACAGGACAGGAACAUAAAGUGGCACAGAGGAAAGCAAGUCUUUGUCAGCUGAUGGAGUUCAAAGUCCAUUAAUGCUCUUUUGCAUCUGAUCAGUCACAUGCACACCUUAACAAUUCCAUUGAGGCUCAAUCACUGCUGCAUUAUUUCUGCAACUUAAUCUUAAAAAAAACCCAAACAAAAUCAACCAACCAAACAAACUAGUAAACAAAUCAGUCACUAAGCAAGUAACUUGGUCAUAUUUAAGGAUAUUCCAUAUUUUAAUUGCAUUGUGUGUACAAUCAAAUGAGAACAUAUUUUGAAUUGUGAACUAUUUACUGAUCUUGUACUUUACAGCAAUAGAGAAUAUUCAGUCUUUAAUACUUAGCAAUGAUAUUUAUUGUAUGCAUUUGAAACAUUUUUCAUAAAGACAAAUAUUUUUGGUACUACCUCAUCAGUCAAGUUACACUCUAUUAUUGAUAAUACCAACCUGAUGUAGAAGAAUGAAAAAAUAUAAUUACAUAUCAGUUAUUCAGGAGUCCAAAAAACAAAAAGAGGUUUUAAGGGAACAUUCCUAAGUCUUACAUGUUGACACCAGUGGGAUUAUAUGUGUUGCACUUAAAGGAAUAUUUUGCCUGCUGAUGUUGUUCAACAGUUGGCCAAGUAACAGAACAGAUUCCACUCCCUGCUACAGGGCUGGAAAUAAAAAAAUCCCACAUGGUGGUUUCUCUUUUAUGGUCAUACAGCAGGAUUGUGUUUUUGAGAAGGGGAAAUGCAGCUGAAAGAGCAUCUGUGGAAAUUCCUUCUGCCUGCAGAAAGAGCACUGCAAUUUGGUAUUUGAUAGCUUUCACAGAGUGCAACCUGCAGGCUCCUUUACAGCUCCCAGCACUGAUACAGAUGUAGGACAGUAAUGCUUUGCUCUUGCUUCUCACUGUAUUUGUCAAUAAUUUGUGAGCUUUUCUAUAGCAGCAAAGCCACCAUUUUAAAUGUCACUUGAUCAAGGUUAACUAAAAUGGUCGAAUCAUCUCUGUCCUUGUCUACUCUGAGGGCUAAAUCAUUAACACCUUUUCAAAUAUGAUUGAUUUUCCACUAUUGUUGAGCCUUUUGACUCAUCUCACUGAACUUUUGGCACUCACUACCUUAACCCAGCUGAGAUCUCUGUUCUGUCACUGCACCUCCCAUACAUGAGAGACUUCAUUGCUGAGAGCAAGUGGAACAUGAUUUACAUUUAGGAGAAGUUUAAACUACCAGUGUAAAAUUAAAUAUGAAUAUUGUGUUGUCCUGAAUCAGGAUGAAUUAAAAAAUAUUAUUUAAAUGUUGGUACCUGAAUUUCUCAGCUUGAAGACUGGGUUGCUGUAGUAGGUUACUGUGAUUUGUGAAAGUUAUUUUUUGUCUUAUGACCAAUGUUACUGCAUGGGUGUUUUUUUUUUUUUUUAAUAAUUUCUGAACCAUUUUGACAUUGUUAUGGUUGUAAUUAAGACCAGAUGAAAAUGAAAGAAAGUGGAGAAGGUAAAAAUAGAUAAGAAGGUGAAAAUUAUUGGGAGGACAAGUAAGGAAAUCUCAAGAAGAAACACUUGCUAGUAUCAAGAGUUACAGUAAUACCUAAAAAUGAUAUUUUACCAUUAACAGCCAUGAGUUUGUCUUAAAGACAAACCAUAUAAUGAGAAGAAAAAAUACCAAAUGCUCUUUUAUCUAAUUACUUCAUGUAUCUUAUAAUUCUGAAAUUAAUAAUCUUUGUGAAGGGCAGAGUAAACUAAUUCUAGGUUAGGGGAAGGUUGGGGAUUCAGUGUGUAGAUUAUAUUUUUUAAUGUUUUCUGUUUUCUUAAAACAUAAUAAUCUUUUAUUUGUUUCAGAAAAGUGAGCAAUAUGUUCCCUGGAUUUAUGGUAUGGACAACAUGCCUAAGGAAACAGGGAACAAAAGAAAUCAUUGGUAAAAGCUUUUCUGCCUGCUACUUUGUAAACAUAUUAGUUUUCAGUCCUCAUUUUGGUUUAAUAUACACUACACACUAUGGUAUCGAUGUGUUUAAUUUAUAAUGAAGACUGAUGCUGUUUCAGCAGUACUAUUGCUUGUUCUAUUUCAGAACAUGUAUUAAGCUGUUCAAGGAACAGCAAAAUCUCCAACUGCUACAUUAGCUGGACAUGUCAAAUUAAUGCCUAUUGAAGAUUAUCUUGGGUUUCAGGUAUGGUCUUGAAUGAAAAAUGUCAUUGUGCUGUCAGUCAUCCAGCUAAUUAUCUAGAGGUCAAGCUGACCUCUUGUAUGUAUCUACAUUUUCUCUUAUUCUUUUACAACAUGAGGUGUAGCCCCAUGAAACUGGCUAAUAUAAAUUAGCUUGAGAAAAUAUGCUUACAGUCUAAAAGAAAAUAUAAAUUGUGUAUGCUUUAAAAUAGCAUGGAUCUGUACUGUUGCAUUUCAGAUUUGCCAACUCUUCCAUCAAAUAUGAUUAAAGAGAUUCACUCAAGCCGUA